rnacentral:rRNA from 1 species
CGGUAAUUCCAGCUCCAAUAGCGUAUACUAACGUUGUUGCAGUUAAAAAGCUCGUAGUUGGAUUUCUGAUCUUUGCCAAUGGUUGUGUCGCCGCGUGCGAGGCGCCUUGCGCAGAGGUCAACAUAUGUCACGAGCCAGUGUGAUCUAUUCAUUUAGGUCCACUGGGUAAUGACUCGUUUACUUUGAGAAAAUUAGAGUGUUCAAAGCAGGCAUUUGCCUUGAAUAUGUUAGCAUGGAAUAAUAGCAUAGGACUUCGGUUCUAUUUGUUGGUUGUUCGAGAAUUGGAGUAAUGAUUGAUAGGGACGGUUGGGGGCAUCCGUAUUCUCAAGCGAGAGGUGAAAUUCUUGGACCUUGGGAAGACGAACAGCUGCGAAAGCGUUUGCCUAGGACGUUCUCUUUAAUCAAGAACGAAAGUUGGGGGAUCGAAGACGAUCAGAUACCGUCGUAGUCUCAACUAUAAACUAUGCCAGCUAGGGAUCGGUGGGUCUUUGUCACGAGUCCAUCGGCACCUUACGAGAAAUCAAAGCAUUUGGGUUCCGGGGGGAGUAUGGUCGCAAGGCUGAAACUUAAAGGAAUUGACGGAAGGGCACCACCAGGAGUGGAGCCUGUGGCUUAAUUUGACUCAACACGGGAAAACUUACCAGGUCCGGACAUAGUAAGGAUUGACAGAUUGAAAGCUCUUUCUUGAUUCUAUGGGUGGUGGUGCAUGGCCAUUCUUAGUUGGUGGAGUGAUUUGUCUGGUUAAUUCCGUUAACGAACGAGACCCGCGCCUGCUAAAUAGUCGGCCUCACUUCUGUGGGUGUUGUACUUCUUAGAGGGACCAUCCUGGGUAUACCGGAAGGAAGUUGCGGGCAAUAACAGGUCUGUGAUGCCCUUAGAUGUUCUGGGCUGCACACGGGCUACACUGCAAGAUACAACAAGCGUCGAUCACGCCUGACUGGAAGGUCCGGCCAAUCUUUGAAUAUCUUGCGUGAUUGGGAUAGACCAUUGCAAUUAUUGGUCUUCAACGAGGAAUUCCUAGUAAACGCGUGUCAACAACACGCAUUGAUUACGUCCCUGCCCUUUGUACACACCGCCCGUCGCUCCUACCGAUUGGAUGUUUCGAUGAGCCGUUUGGAGGACUAAGCUGAAAGCGUCAGCCGGAAGCUACGUCCGAAAUUCUGCAAAUCUGAAUAUCUAGAGGAAGGAGAAGUCGUAACAAGGUAGCCG